UACGUAGGGGGCCAGCGUUGUCCGGAAUCAUUGGGCGUAAAGCGCGUGUAGGCGGCUCGAUAAGUCUGCUGUGAAAGUCCAGGGCUCAACCCUGGGAUGCCGGUGGAUACUGUCGAGCUCGAGUCCGGAAGAGGCGAGUGGAAUUCCUGGUGUAGCGGUGAAAUGCGCAGAUAUCAGGAGGAACACCAAUUGCGAAGGCAGCUCGCUGGGACGUAACUGACGCUGAGACGCGAAAGCGUGGGGAGCAAACAGG
rnacentral:rRNA from 1 species